UCCUGUGGCAUUCCUCAGGGUACGGGGCAUCGGCAGGAAGGGUGAUGAGCCCAGAUUUGCUUCAUUAGCAAAGCAGACACACACGUAACCUCAGAAAAAUGAUUGUAGCCAGUGCUAUGUUUAUGAUUCUCAUUGGGGUUGCCCUAGAGAAGUUUGUAUUUUGUCCACUGCAUGGGGUCAUUACAGGAUACUCGGCAGCCAUGCUUGGCCUUAUUUUAAAGCUCAUCUCUUUGUCUCACACUAACGUCAGUAGGACUUCGAGAGAAGACUGCCGGGCCGUGAUUGUAUCUGCUUCAGAGGCUGGAAAAGAGAAUGAGGCAGGGGCUUGCAGGCUGUCUCAGUGAAGUGAUGGAGAGAGGUGGCAUGGAGCUGUGGUCCACGGGGAAGGUCUGAGCUUAGACCACUGAUCACGGAGCCACCUACGGGUCAUUGGGGUCCCUACACUCCAUGAUACUUGGGACACUGCUGCCUCACAGUCACCAGGGAUCAGGUUAUUCUUGUGCUUGGGCUUCUUUUGGUGGCAUCUGAGAAAGGAAAGAGACAAGGCUCUCCCAGGCAAAGUGCAGAGAGAGGUCGGGACCCUAAAAAUUGAUCAGCAAUUUAAGCUGGAAGUUCAGCUACUAAAAACUCAGCUUUGAGACAGUGACAUGAGGAGUGCAGGUGAUCUGGACUGUUAGUGACAGCAUGGGAUCAUGGUGGGGGGGGGGGGUGAUGUGUGCCAGCCUUCUGCAUGUGUUACGCUGAGGUGACCCCAUCCUUAGCCCCUCUCUGGUGUUGCUUCACGGCAGGAUUCUGAAGCCCAACACUGAUUGCCCACCAUGCUGAAGGGAGCCUGACAGGUCAGGACCUGUCCCACCAAAGAUCGCUAGCGUUUCUAAAGUCCCCCACCCCCACCCCAUCUGGUCCCCCUGGCUCCCUACCCCUUCUGUCACUCUCAGUGGCCAUGGCAUGACCUUGGACGUGGCCCUCAGUUGUCCCUGCAGAGUGGGGCUGUCCUCUCCUGGCUCCCAGGGUUGGCACAGACAGCCCGGGGAGCAGGGUCUGUGGGUCCAGGGCAGGGUCUUUCCUCAGAGGCCAUGUGCACUCAGGCAGCUUCUCCUGUGAGGCUUAUUGGGGUGGCCUCUGGCUUCUGGGGCUGAGACAUUACUGGGUUCAGCCUCAGAUGGCAGCACACACACAAAAGUGAAAUUUCCCAGGGCGAGAGUCAUGACUGUCUGACUCCGGAUAGGCCAUGGGGGCUUUUGGCCUCUUAACUUGAGAAGCUGCCAACGCGUCCUUGGGGCCGAGGCUGUAAAACAUCUGGAAUCCCACCUUCUGGCUGCCCCUGAAAUGUUCUGGUUUGCCAUUCCUUAAACAUGCUUGUCAACCUGCUUCCAAAGUGUAGGACCCACUACUUUUAAGGCAGGCAAGGGGGCCCAUCACUCCAGCAUCCAGCUUCAGAAGCACCUGCCCAGCUCUCUGGGACAGGGUGACAGGCUCCUGUCCAGGCACCCUGCAGGCCUUCCCUCCAGCUCGGCUUGAGGGAUACAGGUGUCCAUUCAAAAAUGACUCCCCAGCUGGCUCUCAGGGGCCAAGAUGCUGAGAUGUGAGGCUUUGAAGUCCAGACUUGGUUUGGGGGAAAAACGAUGAAUGUACCCCUGGAUUGACUCCUAGGAUUCAAACUGGGCUAAUAAUGACAUGAAGCCCAGAUCUGCUCAUCUUGGGGUCAUAGCGCCUUGCAAUACGUGCACCUGGAGGUGACUGCAUAUGCUUUUAUUCUUCUGCAUUUAAGGAUUUGAGGGAUUUUUGCUAUAAUGGUUUUGACAAAAAUUUUUUAAAUGAGCCAAACUUCUUUCCUUGCAUUUUAUGACAUGCACUUGGCCUCGGGCUGCUCUGUGCGCACUACCUACGCUUGCCCAGAUGCUGCUCUGGCUUGUCCAGCAGGGACCACGAGCUUCAGGUACCAUGACUCUAACUUCCACUAUAUACCGUUACCAGGUGGCUGAUGGGAAAUCAGGGAAACAGAGUGUUGGGGUGUCGCACCCAACCUUUAGACUUUAGCAAACUUUUGCUGAGAGAUGUAGAUUUACCUGAGCUGGGUUUUUGUUUUUGUUUUCCUUUUUGACAGGAAGAGGACGUGAUGUGUUAGUACCGUCAUCCGGUAAUUACUGGUUCCUUGAUCUCUUACAUCAGCCCCUUACUUGGGAUGUCAUUUCUAAGGAUGCUCCAUUUGCUAGACAGUAUGCUGACUGGCCGUUUGGAGCAGGAGGUCCCUGCCACUUGGGUAUUUGUGGAACACACCCGCCCCUGCUGAUGGCGGUGUGGGAGUGAGGGUUGUGUCUGGGAGGUCAGAUGGCCGGUGGAGCAGUGUGCCUGUUCUUGGUGGAGGAUGCCAUCGCGGCAGUGAGUGCUGCCACGCCAUAUGCCACAAGGGCUCCCCCACUGCGUAUGACGAGACCCCCACAGGAAGGCAAAGGGCACAGCCGUCUGGUUGCGAAGCCCUGGUCUAGCACAGUGUCGCGCUCGCCAACCUUCAUCUGUCCCCUCGCGGUCACACCCCUCACGUGAUUCUAAGAUCAUCCUUUACACUCUGGACCUCACCUUAAAUCUGUAGAGAGCGUUUGUCGCCAGUAGUAGGCAACCAGUGGCUUCUACAAAUCUGAUGCUUUGACCACAUGGCUCCCAUUUCUUACUGUCCAAAUCCGGGGCUUGUUUGACUCUUAACCUUCUAGAUCAUUCUCUGUGCUGCCACAGGCCCUUUCUGGAACCCUCUUCUGAAGUGGCAAUAGCCCAGCUCAGAGUGAACGUGUAUGCCACCUCGCCGUCCAUCCAGCAUCCUUCCUCUCUUAAUCCUUAGGUGGAAGGUGAAAGUAUUAAGCCAGCUGUUUGGGGAGGAAAUGAAUGCCUUAGAAACACCAGGUUGGUGUAGGAAAAGUCUCAUCUCCCCUCGCUGCCUUGACCACCAUAAGGCAUGUGCACCCUCUGAGAAAUUUCAGGAGCCCCGGCAGAGACACGUGUUGAUGUAUUUGGGGUGAACAGAGUGUACAGUGUUUUGCAAUAAAGACGUUUCGCCUUAAGACCCUUGAAUGGAUCUCCAGCCGUGAUGGAGCUGCCAAAACUCUUUCCCCUGAUGUGAUGUUGCUUAAAGAGGAGGCCCCCUGAGGGCACCCUCGAACCCCCGGGGCAUCCUCCCGCCUCUCACUCCGUCAUUAUACUGCCUUCUCGCUCGCUUCAGUAAAAAGGACCUUCACCAGCUCUUGUGCCCUCCAGCUGGAGGAGAGUCCACUGUCCUCACAGCAGCAACUGCAGCCGUCACAAAAAUCACCAUCUUCUCCUCCAAGGUGGUGGUGCUGAGACGUUUUCAUUUCCACCCCUCACAGUUCAAAAGAAUCAAUGUGAAUUUGCCUCCUGCCUAAACUGGCUUCCGAUGAGACUCCCAUUCUCAUGCGAGCAUAUCAGACUUCUCCUGGAACCCUUAGAACUGGACCCGGGGCAGGGGGGCCCUGGGGGGGGCCCUCCCCCCCAUCAUUCAACUUUCCUUAGAGCCACUGUCUCUCAUCUGUGACUUCUGAGUCAGCCAACAGAUCCACUAGUUGUUCAACGAGAAGUUCACGGAGCUUGUCAUCAGGAUAUGGAUGGCUUUUAUGUCAAAGAAGAUGCAGUCUCUGCCCCCUCCCCAUGAAUGUAUCUCCUGAUAUGCAGACGCCGUAUCUGUGCACCCACUGGAGGCUGCCCACCUGCGACAUCUCAGUGACACUGCGAGGACCUCUCUACUCACGGGCAGUUCGUCGCUCCGGGGCUCCUCCUCAUGUUAACACUCUUGCCAUGGAGUCCCACCAAAUCCUUCCUUGGGUUUUUCUUCUUCCUUUGCAUCUGUCACUUUGUCCAAAUGAGCACGGAUCAGCUACGUGCAAGUGAGCGGAUACUAUUGUUGUGGUCUGCCGGGGGUGCUGCCAGGACACCGCUGUAGGACUGCAGCGUGGGGAUGAGAAGGGACACGUGGCCCCUCCAUUGAUAGACUCUGCUCAACAUUUUUAAACAAGCACAAAUGAUAUUU
rnacentral:lncRNA from 1 species